UACGAAGGGGGCUAGCGUUGCUCGGAAUCACUGGGCGUAAAGGGUGCGUAGGCGGGUCUUUUAAGUCAGGGGUGAAAUCCUGGAGCUCAACUCCAGAACUGCCUUUGAUACUGAAGAUCUUGAGUUCGGGAGAGGUGAGUGGAACUGCGAGUGUAGAGGUGAAAUUCGUAGAUAUUCGGAAGAACACCAGUGGCGAAGGCGACUCGCUGGACAGACAUUGACGCUGAGGUGCGAAAGCGUGGGGAGCAAACAGG
rnacentral:rRNA from 1 species